rnacentral:rRNA from 1 species
UACGUAGGGUGCGAGCGUUAAUCGGAAUUACUGGGCGUAAAGCGUGCGCAGGCGGUGAUGUAAGACAGGUGUGAAAUCCCCGGGCUUAACCUGGGAACUGCAUUUGUGACUGUAGAGCUGGAGUACGGUAGAGGGGGAUGGAAUUCCGCGUGUAGCAGUGAAAUGCGUAGAUAUGCGGAGGAACACCGAUGGCGAAGGCAAUCCCCUGGACCUGUACUGACGCUCAUGCACGAAAGCGUGGGGAGCAAACAGG